rnacentral:rRNA from 1 species
UCUGGUUCACCUUAUUCUGAUGAAGCAUCACUGGAUGCCAAAACAGAUUAAUGAGAUGAAAUUUGAUGAACUUCUUCUUUCAAUUCAGGAUGAACUCACGCUUGAUAAAAUAAGCGUAACCGCCCAGAAAUUUUUAGAUUAUCGAGACUGGAGAUCACAAAUUCAUCACUUUGAUGAUUUUGACGAAAAUGAAUGGGAUCCUAAUUUGUCUGCACAAUAUCUAAAGUAACAUCCUGUGAUAAAACCGUGAUUUCCUGAUCCAGUUUUUUUAAGGAGUCUAUUGUUUCCUGUCGAUAAGACAGCACUUCACGAAGCUGGUUUAUAGCUGCCAGCUUCUUUGUCAUCCACUCAUAAAUUUCCUCAUCUGUGUAGCCAGGCGCGACGAUUUUUGGUUCUGUUUUGUGCAUUUCACACCUCCUCAAGUUAUCAGUUACUUGUUGAUGGGGACCAGAUUGUUAAAGAGCUAAGCGUCCUGUAGGGCGCUUUUUUGUUGCUAACGAAUCAUCCUGGACUUCAUAUGCCC